GCAAGGGCACUCUAAUGAGACUGCCGGUGACAACCGGAGGAAGUGGGGAUGACAUCAAGUCCUCAUGGCCCUUAUGGGUAGGGCUUCACACGUCAUACAAUGGUCGGUACAGAGGGUUGCCAAGCCGCGAGGUGGAGCCAAUCCCAGAAAGCCGAUCGUAGUCCGGAUUGUUCUCUGCAACUCGAGAGCAUGAAGUCGGAAUCGCUAGUAAUCGCGGAUCAGCAUGUCGCGGUGAAUACGUUCCCGGGUCUU
rnacentral:rRNA from 1 species